rnacentral:rRNA from 1 species
GACAGAGGUGCCGAGCGUUAGGCGGAAUCACUGGGCUUAAAGCGUGUGUAGGCGGACCGUUAAGUACCUUGUGAAAUCCUGCGGCUCAACCGCAGAACGGCUGGGUAUACUGGCGGUCUUGGGCCACCUAGGGGCAGAUGGAACAGACGGUGGAGCGGUGAAAUGCGUAGAUAUCGUCUGGAACGCCAAUGGUGAAAACAGUCUGCUGGGGGUGUGCCGACGCUGAGACACGAAAGCCAAGGGAGCAAACGGG